rnacentral:misc_RNA from 1 species
CACUCUGGUUGGAUGUCCACCGAUGACUUAAAAGCGGCCGCCUCGCGACGUGGAUGGUUUUGGUUGGAACGGUUGAGGUUGUAGAGCCGGUCACGACGGGCGCGUUCCUUUUCCGCCUCGCGUUUACGAGCUUCCACCUCUUCAUCGCGUCGCUGUGGAAGCUGCGGGCGGUGUUGGUUGAACCGCCACUUAGGCCCAAAUUUGGGGCGCGGAGGAGGUUUUCCGUCUACAAGGCGGAAAGUUGAGUCAUCGUCACCGGCAGCAGCUGCUGCGGGAAAGGAAUCAUCUGCGGUAAAGUCAAAAACCGAAUCCAAUGCAGUUUUGUUGGCGUUUGGGCGAGUCGCAUUGGGGUUGUUGACGUUGCGGGUCCAGUCGGCAAUUCGGCCUAGUUUUUCUGAUCGGGAGAAGGGGGCGAAGGGAACAUGGAGAGGGAGGGUGAGGGGCAGUAGUGGUAGUGGUGGCUGUUGUGGCGUCUGGAGGGCCCCAACCGUCAGGGGUGAAAGGAA